rnacentral:rRNA from 2 species
GAUGAACGCUGGCGGUGUGCUUAACACAUGCAAGUCGAACGAUGAAGCCAGCUUGCUGGUGGAUUAGUGGCGAACGGGUGAGUAACACGUGAGUAACCUGCCCUUAACUCUGGGAUAAGCCUGGGAAACUGGGUCUAAUACCGGAUAUGACUCCUCAUCGCAUGGUGGGGGGUGGAAAGCUUUAUUGUGGUUUUGGAUGGACUCGCGGCCUAUCAGCUUGUUGGUGAGGUAAUGGCUCACCAAGGCGACGACGGGUAGCCGGCCUGAGAGGGUGACCGGCCACACUGGGACUGAGACACGGCCCAGACUCCUACGGGAGGCAGCAGUGGGGAAUAUUGCACAAUGGGCGCAAGCCUGAUGCAGCGACGCCGCGUGAGGGAUGACGGCCUUCGGGUUGUAAACCUCUUUCAGUAGGGAAGAAGCGAAAGUGACGGUACCUGCAGAAGAAGCGCCGGCUAACUACGUGCCAGCAGCCGCGGUAAUACGUAGGGCGCAAGCGUUAUCCGGAAUUAUUGGGCGUAAAGAGCUCGUAGGCGGUUUGUCGCGUCUGCCGUGAAAGUCCGGGGCUCAACUCCGGAUCUGCGGUGGGUACGGGCAGACUAGAGUGAUGUAGGGGAGACUGGAAUUCCUGGUGUAGCGGUGAAAUGCGCAGAUAUCAGGAGGAACACCGAUGGCGAAGGCAGGUCUCUGGGCAUUAACUGACGCUGAGGAGCGAAAGCAUGGGGAGCGAACAGGAUUAGAUACCCUGGUAGUCCAUGCCGUAAACGUUGGGCACUAGGUGUGGGGGACAUUCCACGUUUUCCGCGCCGUAGCUAACGCAUUAAGUGCCCCGCCUGUAGACGCCGCCUGGCG